GGGCCAGUCGCGUAACCUGGUAACGCGCACCGCUGGCCGCGGUGAGACUUCGGGUUCAAAUAGUUAGCGCUUGCGGCAACGACCGAAAAGCGCAGCUUUGACAGUCCCGACUGGUCCA
rnacentral:tRNA from 1 species